UGUCAUGGCGGCUGUGCGCAGGACACCCUCGGGUGUGCCGGAUUCCUUUAUCGCCGGUCGACCAACCUUCGUACAGCUGCCACCCAC
rnacentral:antisense_RNA from 1 species